rnacentral:rRNA from 1 species
UACGUAGGGUGCAAGCGUUGUCCGGAAUUAUUGGGCGUAAAGAGCUCGUAGGCGGUCUGUUGCGUCGGCUGUGAAAACCCGGGGCUCAACUCCGGGCCUGCAGCCGAUACGGGCAGACUAGAGUUCGGCAGGGGAGACUGGAAUUCCGUGGUGUAGCGGUGAAAUGCGCAGAUAUCAGGAGGAACACCGGUGGCGAAGGCGGGUCUCUGGGCCGACUGACUGACGUGAGGAGCGAAAGCGUGGGGGAGCGAACAGG